rnacentral:rRNA from 1 species
AGAGUUUGAUCAUGGCUCAGAUUGAACGCUGGCGGCAGGCCUAACACAUGCAAGUCGAGCGGUAGAGAGAAGCUUGCUUCUCUUGAGAGCGGCGGACGGGUGAGUAAUGCCUAGGAAUCUGCCUGGUAGUGGGGGAUAACGUUCGGAAACGGACGCUAAUACCGCAUACGUCCUACGGGAGAAAGCAGGGGACCUUCGGGCCUUGCGCUAUCAGAUGAGCCUAGGUCGGAUUAGCUAGUUGGUGAGGUAAAGGCUCACCAAGGCGACGAUCCGUAACUGGUCUGAGAGGAUGAUCAGUCACACUGGAACUGAGACACGGUCCAGACUCCUACGGGAGGCAGCAGUGGGGAAUAUUGGACAAUGGGCGAAAGCCUGAUCCAGCCAUGCCGCGUGUGUGAAGAAGGUCUUCGGAUUGUAAAGCACUUUAAGUUGGGAGGAAGGGUUGUAGAUUAAUACUCUGCAAUUUUGACGUUACCGACAGAAUAAGCACCGGCUAACUCUGUGCCAGCAGCAGCGGUAAUACAGAGGGUGCAAGCGUUAAUCGGAAUUACUGGGCGUAAAGCGCGCGUAGGUGGUUUGUUAAGUUGGAUGUGAAAUCCCCGGGCUCAACCUGGGAACUGCAUUCAAAACUGACUGACUAGAGUAUGGUAGAGGGUGGUGGAAUUUCCUGUGUAGCGGUGAAAUGCGUAGAUAUAGGAAGGAACACCAGUGGCGAAGGCGACCACCUGGACUAAUACUGACACUGAGGUGCGAAAGCGUGGGGAGCAAACAGGAUUAGAUACCCUGGUAGUCC